rnacentral:tRNA from 2 species
CCUGGUUAGCUCAGUUGGUAGAGCGCUCCACUUGUAAUGGAGAGGUCCCGGGUUCAAUACCCGGAACCAGGC